ensembl:lncRNA
CAGGACUUUGGUCUUGUGCAACCCUUAUGAAUGUCAGUUGCUGGAACCAGGAGGGAAGUACUGUGCCAAAGAUAAUGACAAGGUAAAAGUCUCACCCUCCAGACUGGAGCAGUCUGCGCUCCCCACCAGCUAACUGUCACCAGGAGGCUUGGCCUCUAGUGCCUCCUUACAUACAAAUUAGAUAGAGAUUAAUUAACACAAUUUCCAGACAAGUAUGAAUCAAGAAUGUAAAAGGUGUUAGCUCUUUUUGGUUUGUUCUUGCGUUGUGAUCUUGAAGCAUCCUGUAGUAUACUGGUGUUGACUGUUGGUAGUCUCUGCUGCAUGCUGUGAGUGGGUAAUUGGGGUUGUACCUCCACUCACAGUGAAAUGACUCGAGUCUGCCUUUGCCACAUCUGGUUGGCUUUCUAAUCUAACUCCCGUUUAUACUUAAACAUACCUUUAGCUGGAAGAAACUGUGUGUGCCAGUAAGCCAGCAGUCGCUGGCUCUUCCUUCCUUCCAGCACAGAAAGCUUUCUGGUUUUAAUAUACAUUGUAAUUUGGAGAAUAGCAACAACAACCAAACCAAGAAAAAAAGUAUCCUUAUUCUUGUAAGCAUUUGCUGUCAAGUAUGAACUAAGCGUACUUGCUUGGGUGUUUUCAGCUUACUCCGUGCCUCUUUCCUUGCUGUGAUGGACUUUCUUGCAGAGGUCUAAAAGGUGUUUGAUAAACUGCUUUGAGAAGAGGAGAAUUCCUCCGGAACUGAUGAGAUGAGAUGCGUUCCUCGGCGAUGUGACACAUCUCAGUCUUGAGUGCUUUGCUGUGGGCAGCCCGGCAUGUGACACCAAGCACUGUAUACAAGAGAACUCAUUUCUCCAGCUAAGAGGCUUUGUCAGUGGGAGGCAUCUCAGACUUUCCUGUUUGCCCCAUGGAUGUAUAUAGAAUAGGAGCUCCAGAUGUGAUGGACAGGAGUUGCCUCCGGCACAGUCUGUGGCUAUUCCUCAACGUGCACUUGUAGAGAUGUCUGUGAAGAGCUCGAGGAGUAAAAGGCAGAUCAGGUUUUUUGCAUUUUCUGUUCUCUUGUACCUCUCUGUGAACUCGCUGUCAGGAUGUGGUUCAUCUCAGGUGUGUUUGUACCAAAUUCUUGGUUUCAGAGGUGCACGGGCGCUUAGCGUAACUGAGAUCAGGAUUUAGAUUGAGCUCCAGAUGGUGAUCAGAGGAUUACUUGGAGAGCUGAUUAUGAGAGUUCUUUGUAUAAGUCCCAUGCCUAACUGAAUAGUUACAUCACAAAGAUUUCUCUUUAAUGAGUCAUCAGACAAUUUAGUGGGGGGAAAAAAAAAACAACCACCACCACCUUCUAAGCUUUCCCAUGAAGCUGUUUUUCCUUAGCCCAUCUGGUUCCUAUUGAGCUGUACCCCAGCACUUGCAGGCUGCUUUAAUAGGUAUUCAUUUUCUGACUCUGAGGAUGACGUCUAUGAUAUCUCUUAUGUCUGAAUAUCUUCUUCUCUGCAUGUGUGGCCUACGUUUGUCCUUGUGUUCAUCUACCAAGUGUGAGUGUACUGCUGUGGUGUGAGCAGUGAACAAAGACCGUUGUCCAUGGUGUGUUCCAAAGUACAAUCCGCUGCAUUUGUGUGUGCUAUUUUUGGAGUUUUCUUAGCAGAGAAGGUGGUCAGCCAGUCUGACUUCAGAGCCAAGUUAAGGGGAAAGUAGCAGUGCAAGCAGCAAGUGGGUGAGAAAACGUUCUUUUUACUCCUUUUGUCUUGCCAGGAAACAUCUUGUUCUCUUCUUCAGAUUUGUGAACUGCGCCUACUCUUCUCUUAGCUCAACAGAUUUGCCCAUCAGCUUGCAGAUAAAGGCCAAUGCUCCUGGCAUCUGCAGCUCUGGAUCUCUGUGCUGGCACGACUCGUCAGGCUGCAUUGUCACUGUCUUGUUUGGUGCCUGGUACCGUGGCUGCCACAGCUCCGGCCUUUGCUCUGUGACUCUGCUGUGUUAGCUUAGUACUAACAGCAGUGAUGUUCCCUCAGUUACCAAUGCCUGUCUCUGGACUGCUUGAGUGUUUCCUGAAGAGUGGUUUCUCACCGGUGCUGUGUACCCAGCUCUGUUGCUGGCCUCAGAUCCACCAGGAGGUUAAAUACUGCUGCAAUUGUAGUGGUGUUGGGCUCCCAUGCUGGUGGUGCCAAGGACCACAGCAGGCAGUAGCCUGAUUUCCUUAGCAUCGUUUUUUUUUCUGCCUAUUUGCCUUACAACUACCAGACUUUCUUUGUGGUAUUGCUCAUUGUCAGAGUGAGAAUGUUUAAAAGUUUUUUUUUUAGUCAUGGGGCUGCUUGGGAGGAUUCUUUUCAUCCCUUCCUAAGCAAAGGUUAACAUAGCAGC